rnacentral:rRNA from 1 species
GAUGAACGCUGGCGGCGCGCCUAAUGCAUGCAAGUCGAGCGACGCACACCGGAGGGGUAACCCACUGGUAUGACGGAGCGGCGAACGGGUGAGUAACACGUGAGCAACCUGCCCCACAGACCGGGAUAGCCCAGGGAAACCUGGAUUAAUACCGGAUACCCUCGGAUGACCGCAUGGUCGGUCGAGGAAAAGCCUUUGUGCUGUGGGAUGGGCUCGCGACUUAUCAGCUAGUUGGUGGGGUAACGGCCUACCAAGGCAAUGACGAGUAGCUGGUCUGAGAGGACGAUCAGCCACACUGGAACUGAGACACGGUCCAGACUCCUACGGGAGGCAGCAGCAGGGAAUCUUGUCCAAUGGGCGCAAGCCUGAGACAGCGACGCCGCGUGGGGGAUGAAGGCCUUCGGGUUGUAAACCCCUUUCAGGAGGGAAGAAAUUGACGGUACCUCCAGAAGAAGCACCGGCCAACUACGUGCCAGCAGCCGCGGUAAU